UACAGAGGGGGCUAGCGUUGUUCGGAAUUACUGGGCGUAAAGGGCGCGUAGGCGGCCCUCUAAGUCGAACGUGAAAUCCCCGGGCUCAACCCGGGAACUGCGUCCGAUACUGGAGGGCUCGAAUCCGGGAGAGGGAUGUGGAAUUCCAGGUGUAGCGGUGAAAUGCGUAGAUAUCUGGAGGAACACCGGUGGCGAAGGCGGCUUCCUGGACCGACACUGACGCUGAGGCGCGAAAGCUAGGGGAGCAAACGGG
rnacentral:rRNA from 1 species